UGGGGAAUUUUGCACAAUGGGGGGAACCUUGAUGCAGCGACGCCGCGUGAGGGAUGGAGGCCUUCGGGUUGUGAACCUCUUUCGCUCGUGUGCAAGCCGCGAUUUGGGUAGUGGUGAGUGUAGCGGGUAAAGAAGCGCCGGCUAACUACGUGCCAGCAGCCGCGGUAAUACGUAGGGCGCGAGCGUUGUCCGGAUUUAUUGGGCGUAAAGGGCUUGUAGGCGGUUUGUCGCGCCUGUCGUGUAAUCCUCUGGCUUAACUGGGGGUGUGCGGUGGGUACGGGCAAGCUUGAGUGCGGUAGGGGAGGGUGGAAUUCCUGGUGUAGCGGGGGAAUGCGCAGAUAGCAGGAGGAACACCGGUGGCGAAGGCGGGUCUCUGGGCCGUUACUGACGCUGAGGAGCGAAAGCGUGGGGAGCGAACAGG
rnacentral:rRNA from 1 species